rnacentral:rRNA from 1 species
AUUGAACGCUGGCGGCAUGCCUUACACAUGCAAGUCGAACGGCAGCGGGGGAGAAGCUUGCUUUUCCUGCCGGCGAGUGGCGAACGGGUGAGUAAUACAUCGGAACGUGCCCUGUAGUGGGGGAUAACUAGUCGAAAGAUUAGAUAAUACCGCAUACGACCUGAGGGUGAAAGUGGGGGACCGCAAGGCCUCAUGCUAUAGGAGCGGCCGAUGUCUGAUUAGCUAGUUGGUGGGGUAAAGGCCUACCAAGGCGACGAUCAGUAGCUGGUCUGAGAGGACGAUCAGCCAAACUGGGACUGAGACACGGCCCAGACUCCUACGGGAGGCAGCAGUGGGGAAUUUUGGACAAUGGGCGAAAGCCCGUUCCAGCAAUGCCGCGUGUGUGAAGAAGGCCUUCGGGUUGUAAAGCACUUUUGUCCGGAAAGAAAUGGCUCUGGUUAAUACCUGGGGUCGAUGACGGUACCGGAAGAAUAAGGACCGGCUAACUACGUGCCAGCCGCCGCAGUAA